rnacentral:rRNA from 1 species
AUGCUAACUCUCGCCGCCGCCGCCUCCCCCAUCCCAGAUUCUUCUCCUCCGCCGCGCCAUGGCGCUCCCUAUGAUCGAUGUGCCAUCGGGUUCCGCUGUUCUUUGAACUCCGUUGGGUGCCGGGGUGGUGGUCUUAGGAGGAGGGGAGGAGGAAGAAGAAGAGGACCAGGAGAGCCCCGCAGGUGCAGGGGAGGCCGUUCGCGGUGGAGAGGCUGGUGGCGCACAAGGCAUGGACGUGCCUGCCGAGUGCCCAGCCCGCUGACGGCGAUGGGUCUGGAUAAGUUCGGUGUGCUUUUAGGUUGA